UCCCUGGUUGUCUAGUGGUUAGGAUUUGGUGCUCUCACCACCACUUUCCAGGUUCGAUUCCCAGUCAGGGAA